GAUUCGAGAGAGACCCACAAUGACUGCCACACGGACAACAGUCAACCUGUCCUCCAAAUAGAAACAAAAUCGGGUUUGGAAGUAUGACGAAGGUCUCUGGGGUGACCCAGUCGAACAUGUUUCCCCUUUUCCUACUCUGGGGCUACACUGAAGUGGUAUUCAGUUGCACUCUUGCAGUACCCAGAUUCAACCGAUUUGAAUAUUAUACAUCAAAUUGUUCCUGGUAGCAAACAUACAUUGAAAGUUCAGCUGCAAAGAUGAAAACAUCCCAUCAAAGGCAUCGAGUUCCGAUGUCACCGUCAAGAUGACACAGCAGAAGUAAAAGCGCCGCAAAUUUUCUCUUCACAUCUUAAUGACAAAUAAAGUUCACUUGGA